rnacentral:lncRNA from 1 species
GAAAUUUAUUUUCUCACAGAUCUGAAGGCCAGAAGUUCCAGACCAAGGUCCAGCAGGAUCAGUUUCUGGCCAAGAGACAAGCAGUUAAGAAAAGGAGUUACCAUCCUGGCAGGAGUAAUUGACCCUGAAGAGAAAGCAGCAGCAGCAUUUACUGGGUACUGACUCACUGCUUGGGAGUUUCUUCACCAUUACUCUCUCUGAACCCUGAUGUCUUAGAGAUUCAGCCAAAGGAACGUCUGUCCUCGCAUAUUAUCUUUAUUACUGAACAGGCAGUGUCUGCCCUGGACCUUGUCUAGGAAAACUGGAUAAGAGUUUCUCUGAGGAACAGUACACUUCGACUUCUGGACACUUGACUGUCUAUUCUAAAAUGAUCUUCAGGGGGCCCGCCCGAUGGCGCAGUGGUUAAGUUCGCACGUUCCACUUUGGCGGCCUGGGGUUAGCCGGUUCGGAUCCCCAGUGUGGACAUGGCACUGCUUGGCAAAAGCCAUUCUGUGGUAGGCAUCCCACAUAUAAA